GAAACUUGCCCCGAGAUGAGUUCUCCCUGACUCCUUGAGAGUCCUGAAGGAACGUUGAAGACGACGACGUUGAUAGGCCGGGUGUGUAAGCGCAGCGAUGCGUUGAGCUAACCGGUACUAAUGAACCGUGAGGCUUAACCUUACAACGCCGAAGCUGUU
rnacentral:rRNA from 1 species